AACGAACGCUGGCGGCAUGCCUAACACAUGCAAGUCGAACGAGAACUUCGGGUCUAGUGGCGCACGGGUGCGUACCAAGUGGGAAGUUGCCCUUAGGUUCGGAAUAACUCACUGAAAGAGGAGCUAAUACAGGAUAAUGUCAUCGGAGAAAAGAUGUAUCGCCUUGGGAUGGGCCCGCGUUGGAUUAGCUAGUUGGUAGGGGAAAAGCCUGUCAAGGCGACGAUCCAUAGGUGGUCUGAUAGGAUGAUCAGCAACACUGGAGCUGAGACACGGCCCAGACUCCUACGGGAGGCAGCAGUGUGGUAUAUUAGACAAUGGGCGAAAGCCUAAUCCAGCAAUGCCGCGUAAGUGAUGAAUGCCUUAGGAUUGUAAAUCUGUUUGUCCCGAGGUGAUAAUGACGGUACCGGGAGAAUAAGCACCGGCUAACUCCGUG
rnacentral:rRNA from 1 species